CUUGUUAUAAAUAGCAUAAAUGCGUAUAACCUCAAGAUAAUCUCAUCCCCGAGUCAAUAUCGAUAACUGAAGACGAAACUUUAACGUACGAAAACGCGAGAUGUAAUAUCCUUCACCCUUUACAAACAUUCUUCCUUGAAUAUUUAACUCCCCGGGAUCUAUAUAAACUUUGGCAGAGUCGCUUUUGUAACAAUACUACUACCAAAUAUUCCUGUAAAAACUCAAUAAUUCAAUGCCACAUAGGACCAAUAUCAUCAAUAAAGACAUACUACGACCAACUCUUCCUGUAGAAACUCAAUAAUUCAAUGCCACAUAAUACCAUAAUC
rnacentral:lncRNA from 1 species